UGGGACCAAGAAUUAAGGCAA
rnacentral:siRNA from 1 species